CCUACGGGAGGCAGCAGUGGGGAAUAUUGCACAAUGGGGGAAACCCUGAUGCAGCGACGCCGCGUGAGUGAAGAAGUAUUUCGGUAUGUAAAGCUCUAUCAGCAGGAACGAGACAAGACGGUACCUGACUAAGAAGCCCCGGCUAACUACGUGCCAGCAGCCGCGGUAAUACGUAGGGGGCAAGCGUUAUCCGGAAUCACUGGGUGGAAAGGGAGCGUAGACGGCUGAGCAAGCCUGAAGUGAAAGGCGGGGGCCCAACCCCUGGACUGCUUUGGGAACUGUACGGCUGGAGUGCAGGAGAGGUAAGUGGAAUUCCUAGUGUAGCGGUGAAAUGCGUAGAUAUUAGGAGGAACACCAGUGGCGAAGGCGGCUUACUGGACUGUAACUGACGUUGAGGCUCGAAAGCGUGGGGAGCAAACAGGAUUAGAUACCCCAGUAGUC
rnacentral:rRNA from 1 species